AUUUUUCUGGUCCUUAUGUCUCUCUUUGUGUAACACUCUUGCAGGAAAAUUCAGUACAGAUGACUACCAAAAAAGAAUUAUAUAAGCUUAUGGACUUCCCCAGCUUCACACAUGAAUACUUUGCAAACAAAUAGAAGAAAAAAAGCAAUUUCAAAAGCAAGAAGGAGAAGAAGAAGAAGCAAAAGACACUCUCGCCCCUACAUCAAGCACUCGACCCUCAACACCUAAGAAAGAAAGAGGAAAACCAGGUUCCUUGGUCCUUGAAAAAGGCAUUUCCGUGGUGUGGCAGCUGAAAUAGAUCAACUAAUCCCAGUGAUGGAAGAGUGUUCUUGAAGCCCUCAUAUGAGUUAGUGAACUGUGGUAAAGAAUGGUAGGAAACAUACCCUGAGCUGGUAUCCUGGUAAGAACUACUGACGUUUCAUCUCUGCAGUUGCAUGCUAUUCAGUGGCCAUCGUUAACAGAAGGUUUUGUUUUGGGGCGCAACUGAGUGUCCACCAUGGAAAAUAAAUAAAUUAAUAAAGUACUAGGGUGAAAGAGC
rnacentral:lncRNA from 1 species